rnacentral:rRNA from 1 species
CCUACGGGAGGCUGCAGUGAGGAAUAUUGGUCAAUGGACGAGAGUCUGAACCAGCCAAGCAGCGUGAAGGAUGACUGCCCUAUGGGUUGUAAACUUCUUUUAUAUGGGAAUAAAACAGGGUAUGCAUACCCUCUUGUAUGUACCAUAUGAAUAAGGAUCGGCUAACUCCGUGCCAGCAGCCGCGGUAAUACGGAGGAUCCGAGCGUUAUCCGGAUUUAUUGGGUUUAAAGGGUGCGUAGGUGGAUUGUUAAGUCAGUUGUGAAAGUUUGCGGCUCAACCGUAGAAUUGCAGUUGAAACUGGCAGUCUGGAGUACAGUAGAGGUAGGCGGAAUUCGUGGUGUAGCGGUGAAAUGCUUAGAUAUCACGAAGAACUCCGAUUGCGAAGGCAGCUCACUGGACUGCAACUGACACUGAUGCUCGAAAGUGUGGGUAUCAAACAGGAUUAGAUACCCCUGUAGUC